rfam:Cricetulus griseus cell line CHO-K1, whole genome shotgun sequence.
GGAUGUGAGGGUGAUCUUGUGAACUAGCUGUCAUCCCGUUGAUCACCUGGGAUAAUUUAGCUGAUCUGGCUGGCUAGGCAGCUGUUCCCUUUCACCCUUUGCUCUUUGUGUCCAUACUGAAGCCACGCCCUCUGUGAAGCAGGAUGACCUUCCCCAAUAGAGGUGUAUGGUCAAGUGGAUGCAAGUGGCUGUGUUCCCUUCCCUAGCCCCUGUAAGCAAACUCGGAGAAGUACCCUCCAAGUGAUACUUAGAAUAACACAUAUAAAUCUUCGCUUUCUCUUU